GGGGAUGUUCCGGAAUCGACGUGAAGAUCGUAGUUUUCUAAACGGCUAAAGCGGAUCUAUCCGAUAAAUAGAAAAAAAACAAACGACAAUAAACUUGUCAAUGCACUCAAAGGUGCUUUUGCUGACGGUUUUGUAGCUCCUAGAGCUCCAAUGGCCUACGCAUUCGCUUCCUAAGAUGCCCUUCAUGAUCAAAACCUGUGAGGUCAUGAUUGUCAACUAUGCUGGUCUUGCUGCAGAGAGGUUCGACACUUCGCUGUAGUUCGUAUUAAUGUGUCGGCAGGCUUAGAAGGAUUGGUCAUGUUCCUUCGAGGCAUCACGUAAACAUGACAUAUCUCUAGCUAAACGUUUAUCUAACUGCCUUUGCGGACGCGGGUUCGACUCCCGCCAUCUCCACCA
rnacentral:tmRNA from 1 species